AGUGAACGCUGGCGGUAGGCCUAACACAUGCAAGUCGAACGGCAGCACAGUAAGAGCUUGCUCUUACGGGUGGCGAGUGGCGGACGGGUGAGGAAUACAUCGGAAUCUACUUUUUCGUGGGGGAUAACGUAGGGAAACUUACGCUAAUACCGCAUACGACCUACGGGUGAAAGCAGGGGAUCUUCGGACCUUGCGCGAUUGAAUGAGCCGAUGUCGGAUUAGCUAGUUGGCGGGGUAAAGGCCCACCAAGGCGACGAUCCGUAGCUGGUCUGAGAGGAUGAUCAGCCACACUGGAACUGAGCCACGGUCCAGACUCCUACGGGAGGCAGCAGUGGGGAAUAUUGGACAAUGGGCGCAAGCCUGAUCCAGCCAUACCGCGUGGGCGAAGAAGGCCUUCGGGUUGUAAAGCCCUUUUGUUGGGAAAGAAAAGCAGCAGGUUAAUACCCCGCUGUUCUGACGGUACCCAAAGAAUAAGCACCGGCUAACUUCGUG
rnacentral:rRNA from 1 species